CCUACGGGCGGCAGCAGUAGGGAAUUUUGCGCAAUGGGGGAAACCCUGACGCAGCAACGCCGCGUGAUCGAUGAAGCCCUUCGGGGUGUAAACAUCUGUCAGUGGGGACGAAACCUGACGGUACCCACGGGGGAAGCACCGGCGAACUCCGGGCGAGCAGCCGCGGUAAUACGGGGGGGGCAAGCGUUGUCCGGAAUCAUUGGGCGUAAAGAGUUCGUAGGUGGGACGGUAAGUCUGGUGUGAAAGGCGGAAGCUCAACUUCCGUAGGGCACUGGAUACUGGCGAGCUUGAAUGCGGUAGAGGGAAAGGGAAUUCCUGGUGUAGCGGUGAAAUGCGUAGAUAUCAGGAGGAACAUCGGUGGCGUAAGCGCUCUACUGGGCCGUAAUUGACACUGAGGAACGAAAGCCUGGGUAGCAAAUGGGAUUAGAUACCCCUGUAGUC
rnacentral:rRNA from 1 species